UACAGACGGUCCAAACGUUUAUUCGGAAUCACUGGGCUUAAAGAGUUCGUAGGCGGUCAGGAAAGUGGGGGUGUGAAAGCCCUCGGCUCAACCGAGGAACUGCGCUCCAAACUCCCUGACUUGAGGAGGCUAGAGGUAAGCGGAACUGAUGGUGGAGCGGUGAAAUGCGUUGAUAUCAUCAGGAACACCGGAGGCGAAGGCGGCUUCUGGGGCCUUUCUGACGCUGAGGAACGAAAGCCAGGGGAGCGAAGCGGGG
rnacentral:rRNA from 1 species